AUAACUCAGUUGGUAGAGUGCUUGCCUGGCAUGCGUGAAACCCUGAGUUUGAUUCUCAGU
rnacentral:tRNA from 1 species